UUGACGGGGCCGCACAAGCGGUGGAUGAUGUGGUUAAUUCGAUGCAACGCGAAAACCUUACCACCUUUGACAUGUACGGAAGCCUUUAGAGAUAGAGGCGUGCUCGAAAGAGAGCCGUAACACAGGUGCUGCAUGGCUGUCGUCAGCUCGUGUCGUGAGAUGCUGGGUUAAGUCCCGCAACGAGCGCAACCCUUGUCAUUAGUUGCUACAUUCAGUUGGGCACUCUAAUGAGACUGCCGGUGACAAGCCGGAGGAAGGUGGGGAUGACGUCAAGUCCUCAUGGCCCUUAUAGGUGGGGCUACACACGUCAUACAAUGGCUGGUACAAAGGGUUGCCAACCCGCGAGGGGGAGCUAAUCCCAUAAAGCCAGUCGUAGUCCGGAUCGUAGUCUGCAACUCGACUACGUGAAGUCGGAAUCGCUAGUAAUCGUGGAUCAGAAUGUCACGGUGAAUACGUUCCCGGGCCUU
rnacentral:rRNA from 1 species